CGCAACAUCGCAACAUCGCAGCAUCAGCAACAACUGCACACCAGCAACUUGCAGCUCGCAGUGCGACGACAACAAAAACAAAUAUUCGCUGGCAGGAUAGCGGCUCACACACACUCGAGCACACUCUCUAACGAGGCAAUGGCAACCUGAUACCAAAAGCGUCACAACAAACAUCCAACGACAAACAAACAAACAAGCAAGCAAACAAACAGAGAAGCAAAAACACAGAGACACGCACGGGCAAUAAAGCCAAUGCGAAAUGCUUCAGAUAGAAGAGAUUAAUAUGCGAGAUCAUUCACGAAAUCAUCGUGGGCUUUUAUUGGUUGAGUGAAUAUUUUACCAAUGCGAAGAAUAUCAAAAAAGAUCUCAAAGAGUCUGAUAUGCGAGCGAUAGCAUCAGCAAGUUAAGAUAAGCCUGCGAUUUUAUUGGCGACUGAUAUCUUAAUGCAUUGCAUUAGUACAUCAACACUUAAUGCGCCGUGGAAAGCACCAAUGCAAGUUUAUUUUUUUUAAAAGUAUUUGCAGUUUAUUUAUAUUUAUUGAGUACAAGAUGAUGUUACAUUGCUAGCCACAAGUUAACAUCCAUAUAUUAACAUCAAGAUACGUCAAAGAAACUAACUAAACUUUAUAAACACGUAAAAAAGCUACAGGGGUGUUUUAUAGCAAAUAUCUUUGACCACCCCUAAAUAUGUUAACAAAGGAUUAAUGCCAGCUAAAUAGUAAUUAUAAGUAAAAUCCCCAGCAAGAUCUGCUCUCUAAGCCAGGCAUACGUAAGUAAUGGCCUGUCAGGAACAGUGGUCCUCAAACGAAAACCCCCAAGAUGUCCGAGUUGCUGUGGCGAACUGUGCAACUCAUCAACGAGAGCAACUUCUGCAGCAGCAACAUGCAGCAGCAGCAUCAGCAGCAGCCCCAGAUGUUGCAUUAGCUGCUAUGGAUGCGUUUUUGGGGAGUAAGCCGAUGAUGAGGACGGCGAUAAUGAUGAUGAUGCUGUGACUGUGGCUGGAGCUGGAGCUGGGACUCUAGUGCAAUCUGAACCACUUUUUCCCCGCUGGACACAACAAGUGCAACAGCAGCAGCGGCAGCAGCAGCGACAGUUGCAACAGAGAGCAAACACAUCUCCAAAGCACGUUGUGCUGUGGUCGUCGCCGUCCAUCGUCGUCGUUACAUAUCUGGUUGUCUAGAUUGGCUGCAACUCGUCGUCAGGUGAAAUAAAAAGUGAGAGUGACA